rnacentral:misc_RNA from 1 species
UGAUGGGUCCAGCUGAGAAGAAGAAAGGACAAAAUCAACAAAAUCAUCUGAUGCCAGCUGAAGCUAAUUCUGAUGGGCAUGGCAGGAUGGAGAAUAAAAUGAUUGAUCUGAAUAUGAAGCCUGCAGCAGUUAGGGUUCAUGAACAAGCUCCAAAUGAUCAGCUUUGAUCAUCAAAAUGAAAAAGGUGGUUUAUAUGCAAUACUCUCAAGGUCAGAACUUUGGCAGGGAUUUAUCAACGUCUUCCUUUGGUGGCCCCAUAGUUUAGAAUGUCAAGUGUCAAUAAUUUUCCUUCUUUUUUCCGUGGGGAUGGAUAAUGCGGUUUUUAAUGUUUGGAAAACAUAUUUUUGCAAAUUCUAGUUUUGUUAUCUCUUACUGAUGCAGAUCUUUGAGUACGUCAUAAUUACAG